CCAACCGAAAAAUAAAUUCAGUAUUUGUUCAUUUGUCCAUCAGUAGCCAUCGACAAAAAUGUUCUCCAGGUGUAUCUGCCUCUCGAAAAUCUCCUUCACAAAACCUAGCACAUUGUUGACGAAUAUUUUCGAAAUGAAUCGAGUUCUGUGCGUACUGGUCAUAGCCAAGUCAUUGCACAAGGCGCUGAGAGAUUUCUGAUGGCUAUUUUUAAGAAAAUUUGGAAGUAGAAAGAUUUUAUCCAAAAUGGACACAUCACUCUAGCAGAUAUACCUAGGGAAAUAAGAAUAACUUAAUUGAAAUUGUUUUCUCAGCAGAAGAAAGAAGAAAGGGAACAUUGACAAAUAUAACUAGAAUUGAGAAAACUUGGACGAUCAGCAAAAUUCAAAUAGUAUUGAAACGAAGAAAGAAUAUUUUUGUGACGACGUUAUUCGAAAAUUAUAUCGAUUGAAUUAUGAUAUGAAGAAACUUUUAUUACAAAAUAUAUGUUACGAAUAUUAAUUUGUUAUGAGCAAUAAAUAAAUUGACAUCUAGAUUUCCAUAUCA